rnacentral:rRNA from 1 species
UACGGAGGGUGCAAUCGUUGCUCGGAAUCAUUGGGCGUAAAGCGCACGUAGGCGGCUCGUUAAGUCGGGUGUGAAAGCCCUGGGCUCAACCCAGGAAGUGCAUUCGAAACUGGCGAGCUUGAAUAUGGAAGAGGGUCGCGGAAUUCCCGGUGUAGAGGUGAAAUUCGUAGAUAUCGGGAGGAACACCAGUGGCGAAGGCGGCGACCUGGGCCAAUAUUGACGCUGAGGUGCGAAAGCGUGGGGAGCAAACAGG